GACGAACGCUGGCGGCGUGCCUAACACAUGCAAGUCGAGCGGAACGGGCUGAGAGUGUAGAGAUACAAAGGAGGCCAGUUUAGCGGCGAACGGGUGAGUAACACGUGGACAAUCUGCCCUCCGGGUCGGGAUAACAGACCGAAAGGCCUGCUAAUACCGAAUGAGGCGGCGACCCCGCAUGGGGAUGCCGUCAAAGGGGAAACCCGCCGGGGGAGGAGUCCGCGUCCCAUUAGCUAGGUGGUGAUGUAACGGACCACCAAGGCGAUGAUGGGUAGCCGGCCUGAGAGGGUGAACGGCCACAUUGGGACUGAGACACGGCCCAGACUCCUACGGGGGGCAGCAGUGAGGGAUUUUCGGCAAUGGGCGAAAGCCUGACCGAGCGACGCCGCAUGAGCGAAGAAGGCCUUCGGGUCGUGAAGCUCUGUCUAGGGGGAAGAGGAAGGACGGUACCCCUGGAGGAAGCCACGGCUAACUACGUGCCAGCCGCCGCGGUAACAC
rnacentral:rRNA from 1 species